GGAUGUGAAAGCAUACUCAAACUGGCAGAGGUGGUGUCUCAUGCAAAGGACUGUCCACACAAGCCCCCCGCAGACCUGGAUCCAAAGGAAGUUACCGAAACUCACUGGUAUAAAACCGAUUUUGAGACUUCAAAUAACCUUGAAAUUGAGACGAAACACACUUUAGAGAGUCGAAACUGGGAGAAAAGACUGCAGAAAGCAGUUGGCAAGGACAGCGUGGAUGACCUCUGCACCCACGCGGAGGAACAGCUA